rnacentral:rRNA from 1 species
AAAUUGAAGAGUUUGAUCAUGGCUCAGAUUGAACGCUGGCGGCAGGCCUAACACAUGCAAGUCGAGCGGUAGCACAGAGAGCUUGCUCUCGGGUGACGAGCGGCGGACGGGUGAGUAAUGUCUGGGAAACUGCCUGAUGGAGGGGGAUAACUACUGGAAACGGUAGCUAAUACCGCAUAACGUCGCAAGACCAAAGUGGGGGACCUUCGGGCCUCAUGCCAUCAGAUGUGCCCAGAUGGGAUUAGCUAGUAGGUGGGGUAACGGCUCACCUAGGCGACGAUCCCUAGCUGGUCUGAGAGGAUGACCAGCCACACUGGAACUGAGACACGGUCCAGACUCCUACGGGAGGCAGCAGUGGGGAAUAUUGCACAAUGGGCGCAAGCCUGAUGCAGCCAUGCCGCGUGUGUGAAGAAGGCCUUCGGGUUGUAAAGCACUUUCAGCGGGGAGGAAGGCGAGAAGGUUAAUAACCUUGUCGAUUGACGUUACCCGCAGAAGAAGCACCGGCUAACUCCGUGCCAGCAGCCGCGGUAAUACGGAGGGUGCAAGCGUUAAUCGGAAUUACUGGGCGUAAAGCGCACGCAGGCGGUCUGUCAAGUCGGAUGUGAAAUCCCCGGGCUCAACCUGGGAACUGCAUUCGAAACUGGCAGGCUAGAGUCUUGUAGAGGGGGUAGAAUUCCAGGUGUAGCGGUGAAAUGCGUAGAGAUCUGGAGGAAUACCGGUGGCGAAGGCGGCCCCCUGGACAAAGACUGACGCUCAGGUGCGAAAGCGUGGGGAGCAAACAGGAUUAGAUACCCUGGUAGUCCACGCCGUAAACGAUGUCGAUUUGGAGGUUGUGCCCUUGAGGCGUGGCUUCCGGAGCUAACGCGUUAAAUCGACCGCCUGGGGAGUACGGCCGCAAGGUUAAAACUCAAAUGAAUUGACGGGGGCCCGCACAAGCGGUGGAGCAUGUGGUUUAAUUCGAUGCAACGCGAAGAACCUUACCUGGUCUUGACAUCCACAGAACUUAGCAGAGAUGCUUUGGUGCCUUCGGGAACUGUGAGACAGGUGCUGCAUGGCUGUCGUCAGCUCGUGUUGUGAAAUGUUGGGUUAAGUCCCGCAACGAGCGCAACCCUUAUCCUUUGUUGCCAGCGGUCCGGCCGGGAACUCAAAGGAGACUGCCAGUGAUAAACUGGAGGAAGGUGGGGAUGACGUCAAGUCAUCAUGGCCCUUACGACCAGGGCUACACACGUGCUACAAUGGCAUAUACAAAGAGAAGCGACCUCGCGAGAGCAAGCGGACCUCAUAAAGUAUGUCGUAGUCCGGAUUGGAGUCUGCAACUCGACUCCAUGAAGUCGGAAUCGCUAGUAAUCGUAGAUCAGAAUGCUACGGUGAAUACGUUCCCGGGCCUUGUACACACCGCCCGUCACACCAUGGGAGUGGGUUGCAAAAGAAGUAGGUAGCUUAACCUUCGGGAGGGCGCUUACCACUUUGUGAUUCAUGACUGGGGUGAAGUCGUAACAAGGUAACCGUAGGGGAACCUGCGGUUGGAUCACCUCCUUA